GUCCAAAUUGACAGCUAGCUGCUCGCUGCCUGCUCGUUUACCAUAGGCUCGUUUACCAUAAUAACCAUGGAAAUCGCGCGAGAUUUGAUUUUUCUUCGAAAUGGCGCAGAAAAGGCAGGUGGAGGAGGAGCAGGAGGAUCUUAUCCUCGUAGAGGAGAAGGAGCUGCCAGCAGCUCGCCAUCGAGAAAUGACUAGUCAUUCUUCGGCGCCUGCGAAGCA